rnacentral:rRNA from 1 species
CCUACGGGGGGCAGCAGUGGGGAAUAUUGGACAAUGGGGGCAACCCUGAUCCAGCCAUGCCGCGUGUGUGAAGAAGGCCCUCGGGUUGUAAAGCACUUUCAGUGAGGAAGAACGCCUGGUGGUUAAUACCCAUCAGGAAAGACAUCACUCACAGAAGAAGCACCGGCUAACUCCGUGCCAGCAGCCGCGGUAAUACGGAGGGUGCGAGCGUUAAUCGGAAUUACUGGGCGUAAAGCGCGCGUAGGUGGCUUGAUAAGCCGGUUGUGAAAGCCCCGGGCUCAACCUGGGAACGGCAUCCGGAACUGUCAAGCUAGAGUGCAGGAGAGGAAGGUAGAAUUCCCGGUGUAGCGGUGAAAUGCGUAGAGAUCGGGAGGAAUACCAGUGGCGACGGCGGCCUUCUGGACUGACACUGACACUGAGGUGCGAAAGCGUGGGUAGCAAACAGGAUUAGAUACCCCGGUAGUC